AUGUGUAUAAGUGACAGCGCGGCGCUACAUAUUAGACUGAGACCGACGCGUACGGGCCGUCGCAGCAGCAGCCGCCGCGCUCCGCGCGCGGGUCCAGGCGUGCGGACGGCUUCACGCCCUUCGAUUUUGGUGACUCUGGAUAACUGUCAGUACGAUCGCACGGGCUAGUGUAGACUAGCCUUCGCGCGACGGGUCCCCCGCGAGUCCGCCCUAUCAACU
rnacentral:rRNA from 1 species